UGGGGAAUAUUGCACAAUGGGCGGAAGCCUGAUGCAGCGACGCCGCGUGGGGGAUGAAGGCCUUCGGGUUGUAAACUCCUUUCGACAGGGACGAAGCUUUUGUGACGGUACCUGUAUAAGAAGCACCGGCUAACUACGUGCCAGCAGCCGCGGUAAUACGUAGGGUGCGAGCGUUGUCCGGAAUUACUGGGCGUAAAGAGCUCGUAGGUGGUUUGUCGCGUCGUCUGUGAAAUUCCGGGGCUUAACUCGGGGCGUGCAGGCGAUACGGGCUGACUUGAGUGCUGUAGGGGAGACUGGAAUUCCUGGUGUAGCGGUGAAAUGCGCAGAUAUCAGGAGGAACACCGAUGGCGAAGGCAGGUCUCUGGGCAGUAACUGACGCUGAGGAGCGAAAGCAUGGGUAGCGAACAGG
rnacentral:rRNA from 1 species